GGCUCAGGGAGGAAUAUUAUCAUGAUGCAUACAUUUAAAUAGUGUGGGUGCUUAUGAUCAUCUAGUUUGACUUUCAGCAUAGCAGUGAUCCCAGAAUGGCAAUCAAUGACCCUUACCUUCCAUUGGAAUCUCUGUGUGAUGUACAUAGAAUUGAUCAGCUGCCCAAUAUUAAAGCUAGGACUUGGUUCGGGGUUGGGAUUUUGGAAUCAAGGUGUCCAAAUCUCUGGUUAUUGAUAAAGUCUGCAGGGCUGCAAUGUUAAGAAGUAGGUGCUAGGUAACUUCCAGAGAGUUUGGCAGAGGGCUGCACUGAAUUUGACUUUGUCUGCCAGGACAUGAUUCCACCACCCAUUUGUGUUCCCAGCUUUGCAUUCUCUAGGACACACAUCAUGACACUGGUGUUGUACUGGUGAGUAAACCCAUCUCAUUGCUCUGGACACUUUGAAAAAAAAAAAAAAAAAGAAUUACGUUUAUUGGUCAAAUGACAGCAUAACUGUGCCAAAGGAAGUGUAGGCCAAACAGUGCUAAAGGGAAAAAAAAUAAGGAGAAGAGGAUAAGAAGUCUGCUCUGAUUGUGCUAGUGGCCAAACUUCUGCUGCUGGUGGAUCCACAAAGGUGGUGCAGACAUACCAGAGGUUGCUGACUAAAGGCCUCAUCGUUGUUCCAAGGAACAGACAAAUCAAAACUGUGUGGAUAGACAGGAUGGUGCUAGUGUAGAGAUGAAUGUGUAUGCUGUACAAUGACAUGACAGCCUGUUUCACUUGACCUGCAAUGCUCACAGAAUAGGAGGUACUGCAAAAACUGGCGAGGGCUGACAUCUCUAUCCUCUGCCAGAUAAAUGAAUAGACAUCCGUGGCCAUUUAAUACUCAGCUAUCUUUUUAGCUUGUAACAUCCUUUAAUGACUUAUUUCCUGUAAUGCUUUUCUCUCUUUUUCCGGUACAAGCUGGAAAAUAUUGACAGCAGGCAGUGGGUCUGCCUGCUUUGUUUGUUCUCUGCUUGCAUGUUGGGGAAAAGGUAAAAGGGCGACAGAACCAUGGAGACUCCCUGGAGGAGGAGGAAGAUGGAUCCUUCCUGGGGAAACAUCUGGGCGCAGCUGGAGCACAACAUUUCCAGAAACCGGAGCAUGGGGGAGAAGAGCAAAGAGUCUCAGGCAGAGACUUUCAAGAGGGGCAGGGAACAUCCACAGAAAAAAGUACUAAUUCUGUGAUGCCCAGCCUGUGGUAUACAGAUGGUGAUAGAUCUGAAUCCAGGAGCUACAUCAUUUAGAAGCUGUGCCUCCCAAAGGCCACUACGAAGUCCACGUAAUAUACAGAGUGAAUGGUAGUCAGACUAAGCACUGACGGGAGAAAUGUCAUGGGAUAUUUCAAAGAAAGGAGUUUAAGAAAUACUGGAAGUACUUUGCUUUGCUUCAAGUACAGAAUUCACAGUUCUCCUUAUGAGGGUACAUCUACAAGGAAAUUACUAAUUUGUGGAUAGUUUUGUGGACACUAAUUUGCAAUCAUCAUUUUGGUGGAAUGUGAAGAGAAGCUUCUGCACCUAUUUCUGUCCUCAAGCCCAACACAUUCCUUUCUUGGAUUCUGGAAAUGGAAACCAUGCUCAUGGCAAUCUAAUUCUCACAUGAAACAUUUCCAUUUUUCAAAAAGGACAAGAUUAGACAGAAUGCGAUCCCUGGUCUCUACAAGACACCAGACAAAGGUUCCAGCUGAACUGUUUUGAACUGAUGAACCAAGGAUGUGGGCUAGUGGGAAUUUCUAGCAGCAUUACCUUGUCUCAUGCUGUCCUCCAUCUUUUACUGCCUGGUCUCCUUUUCAAUACUUGCUCCUCCAUAAUUAUUGUCUGCAGGUGACCACUGGACUUUGAAACUGUAAAGUGCUUUCCAUAUCUUUUUGCUUCUUGUUAUUUUUCCUUUGAAAUCAUAUAGCUUGUUUUCUGUUGCUAAGAUUACAAGUGACAUGACAAGAUGAAAAGGGAAGACAAAACUGAAAGAAUAUGUGGAGCUCUUUAAUUGCUAUAAAGCAUGGCAAAGUAUCUCAGCUCUGCAACUGAAAAGAAAAGAGCUUUUGGAGCUGUUGUACCGAAAAUCUAGUGCAGUGAAUCUAAUAUUGAAAUUAAAAAAAUAUGGCCCUGAAAUGAAAAAAAUAAUUAGAAACAAAAACUAUAAUAAGUGGAAAAAGGAUUAAGCAAAUAUUGAUAUAGAGUAGAAAUUUUGGGCCUUCUCUGGAGAGGAGUCUGGUCUGCUUGCAUCAUAUGUGGGUAAAGAAUUUUGCAGUUUAUUAAUAGUUAGGUCAUAUUGUACAAUAUCAUAAAAUUUAGAAUUUAGUCUGAUUUAAAUUUAUGUACUUGCACCCUAGAGUUCAGCUAGAACUGUCUGAACAGAUAUUUGGUCUUUUCUGUAGAUUUUUAAUAAACCCAGGAAAAAAGUUGCAAGACUUAAAGAAUUUCAAUUUCAUGCAAAUAUUAAAGAAAAAA